rnacentral:lncRNA from 1 species
CUGUGCCUGGGAGCAUUGUCCAAGCACGUCUUGAACUCUGGCAGGCUCUGGUGCUGUGACCACUGCCCUGGGGACACUGUUCCAGUGCCCAACCACCCUCUGUGGGAAGAAUCUUUUCCUGAUAUCCAAUGUAAACCCCCCCUGACACAGCCUCAAGCUGUUCCCUCAGGUCCUUUCAAUGGUCACUGCAGAGAAGAGGAGCCUGCCUCUGCUGCUCCCCUCCUCUUGAGAAGACUGCACUGUGGUGAAGCCUCCUCUCAGUCUCCUCUUUUCUUCAUGAAGGAGAAGAUCCAAGCUUACUCUGGAGAAAAGAGAAAAAUACUGACUGUUACAUCAUCCUCAAAUCAUCAGAUACCUGUGUUGUGUCAAUUGAGAUCAUGGGAGGAGACCCAAGAGAAAACAUUGCACAUGGAAGAACUUAUCAGAAUCCCUUGAACUCAGGGAAUAAAAGCAGAUUCUAAAAGAAAAUUAAACUACAUCCCAAGUAAUAACAGCUGUAUGGGACAACAGACUAGAGGUGAAAUGUUGAAGAAGCUCAUUAGAAGCACUGGCUCAUUUGCGCUAGGAAAAAAGCACAGUACUGCUGAUGCAGUAAUGAAUCAUACAAAAUAAAUCCACUGUAAUAUGCUAAAAUUACA